GACGAACGCUGGCGGCGUGCUUAACACAUGCAAGUCGAACGGAAAGGCCCUGCUUUUGUGGGGUGCUCGAGUGGCGAACGGGUGAGUAACACGUGAGUAACCUGCCCUUGACUUUGGGAUAACUUCAGGAAACUGGGGCUAAUACCGGAUAGGAGCUCCUGCUGCAUGGUGGGGGUUGGAAAGUUUCGGCGGUUGGGGAUGGACUCGCGGCUUAUCAGCUUGUUGGUGGGGUAGUGGCUUACCAAGGCUUUGACGGGUAGCCGGCCUGAGAGGGUGACCGGCCACAUUGGGACUGGGAUACGGCCCAGACUCCUACGGGAGGCAGCAGUGGGGAAUAUUGCACAAUGGGCGGAAGCAUGAUGCAGCAACGCCGCGUGGGGGAUGACGGCCUUCGGGUUGUAAACCGCUUUCGCCUGUGACGAAGCGUGAGUGACGGUAAUGGGUAAAGAAGCACCGGCUAACUACGUG
rnacentral:rRNA from 1 species